rfam:Firmicutes bacterium CAG:176_59_8 Ley3_66761_scaffold_29819, whole genome shotgun sequence.
CAAAUGCGAUGAACCGGGAGAUUGCUCCGAAAGGAGGUAACUUCCGGGGAGUAUGUCCGAUAAUCGGGCGG